rnacentral:rRNA from 1 species
AUUCAAUGGAGAGUUUGAUCCUGGCUCAGGACGAACGCUGGCGGCGUGCUUUAUACAUGCAAGUCGAACGAUGAAGUUCCUUCGGGAAUGGAUUAGUGGCGAACGGGUGAGGAACACGUGAGAAACCUGCCUUUCAUUCUGGGAUAACACCGGGAAACCGGUGCUAAUACCGGAUACUCCAUCUUGGCGGCAUCGCCGAGCUGGGAAAAAAUUUUGAUGAAAGAUGGUCUCGCGGCCUAUCAGCUAGUUGGUGAGGUAAA